rnacentral:rRNA from 1 species
GAUCCUGGCUCAGGAUGAACGCUAGCUACAGGCUUAACACAUGCAAGUCGAGGGGAAACGACAUCGAAAGCUUGCUUUUGAUGGGCGUCGACCGGCGCACGGGUGAGUAACGCGUAUCCAACCUGCCCAUCACUUGGGAAUAACCUUGCGAAAGUAAGACUAAUGCCCAAUGACAUCCCACGAAGGCAUCCGAAUGGGAUUAAAGAUUUAUCGGUGAUGGUAUGGGGAUGCGU